rnacentral:lncRNA from 1 species
AAAGAAAUUCCCUGCAUAACUUGCCCAGCAGACCUGAAGGAUCCAUGUUUGCUAUGGUAAAGACGAAACCACUCAAUGGCUCGUCUCUUUAGCAGAUUAUGCGUUGUAUUAACCUGCAAUGGGGUGUGACCCGGGUUCGAUCCCUCUUGGGAACGAAUUGGUGAUUGGAGAUAUAAGGUGGAGUUUGGUGAAUGGAGAGAUAAGGUGGUUCUUGGAGUGGAUGGGGAACUAACUACUAACAUCUAACAUGACUUUGACCGAUCAAAAAAAAAAAAAAAAAAAAAAAAAAAAUUAAACCUGCAAUGGGGUUUUGCAUAUCAGGUGAAGCUCAAUCUGUCUCUCCUUGAAGGCAUUGAGGAUGACAUGGACUUCUGCUGCAAGCUCGCCAAAGAGGAAUCCGUGAUACUCCUCCC